rnacentral:rRNA from 1 species
AAGAACCCCGGGAGGGGAGUGAAAUAGUACCUGAAACCUUGUGCUUACAAGCAGUUACAGCCCGUUAAAGGGUGGUAGCGUACUUUUUGUAGAACGGUCCGGCGAGUUAUAGUCACUAGCGAGCUUAAGACAUUCAGUGUUGGAGGCGUAGGGAAACCGAGUCUGAACAGGGCGAAUGAAGUUAGUGGCCAUAGACCCGAAACCAUGUGACCUAGCCAUGAGCAGGAUGAAGUGGAGGUAAAGCUCCAUGGAGGUCCGAACGCACGUUCGUUGCAAUGACCGGCGAUGACUUGUGGCUAGCGGUGAAAUUCCAAUCGAACUUGGAGAUAGCUGGUUCUCCCCGAAAUAGCUUUAGGGCUAGCGUUGGGAAUGAGUUUAGCGGAGGUAAAGCACUGAAUGAGCUAGGGGGCGCAAGCUUACUGAACUCUAUCAAACUAAGAAUGCCGCAUAAAUGCUUCCCAGCAGUCAGACUGCGAGUAAUAAAAUCCGUGGUCAAAAGGGUAACAGCCCAGACCCACAGCUAAGGUCCCCAAUACAUGCUAAGUGGAAAACGAUGUGAGAUUGCAUAAACAACCAGGAUGUUGGCUUAGAGGCAGCCACUCGUUCAAAGAGUGCGUAAUAGCUCACUGGUCGAGUGAUCUUGCGCGGAAAAUUUAACGGGGCUAAGCAUGUAACCGAAGCUUGGGAUUGCGCAAUGCGCAGUGGUAGGGGAGCGUCGUGUACGGGGUGAAGUACGAUCGAGAGGACGUGUGGACUGUACACGAGUGAGAAUGCCGGAAUGAGUAGCGAGAAUUAUGUGGGAAUCAUAAUGGCCGAAAAUCUAAGGUUUCUUGGGGAAGGUUCGUCCGCCCAAGGUAAGCCGGGAGCUAAGGCGAGGCCGAAAGGCGUAGUCGAUGCACAUACGGUUGAAAUUCCGUAGCCACCUUAUCGAUCAAAGCUGACACAUGGAGAUAGCCGAACCCGGGCGUUGGUUGACCCGGGCGAAAGGGACCGAACUACAGUAGGGAAGUCGGCGAUGCUCUGUGGCGAGAAAAGGCGAAGAUAGGGUGCCCGUACCGCAAACCGACACAGGUAGAUGAGGAGAGAAUCCUAAGGCCAACGGGAGAAGGGUUGUUAAGGAACUCGGCAAAUUGACCCCGUAACUUCGGGAGAAGGGGAGCCUCCUACGGGAGGCCGCAGUGAAUAGGCCCAAGCAACUGUUUACCAAAAACACAGGUCUCUGCUAAAUCGAAAGAUGACGUAUAGGGGCUGACGCCUGCCCGGUGCUGGAAGGUUAAGAGGAGGACUUAGCGCAAGCGAAGGUCUGAAUUUAAGCCCCAGUAAACGGCGGCCGUAACUAUAACGGUCCUAAGGUAGCGAAAUUCCUUGUCAGGUAAGUUCUGACCCGCACGAAUGGCGUAACGAUUUGGGCACUGUCUCAACAGCCUACCCGGCGAAAUUGUAGUACCGGUGAAGAUGCCGGUUACCCGCAACUAGACGGAAAGACCCCAUGGAGCUUUACUGCAGCUUAAUACUGAGAUUCGGUAAUUCAUGUACAGGAUAGGUGGGAGACUUAGAAGCAGAGUCGUUAGGCGCUGUGGAGUCACCCUUGGGAUACCACCCUUGGAUUGCUGGGUUUCUAACCUGCGGCCAUGAAUCUGGUCGGGGGACACUGUUAGGCGGGCAGUUUGACUGGGGCGGUCGCCUCCUAAAGUGUAGCGGAGGCGCUCAAAGCUUGGCUCAGCAUGGAUGGAAAUCAUGCAAUGAGUGUAAACGUAUAAGCCAAGUUGACUGCGAGACCGACGGGUCGAGCAGGUACGAAAGUAGGAGUUAGUGAUCCGG